CACCUCGGACGCAAAUCUGGGCGUGUCUCGUGACAGAAUUGAGUGCUGCAUUAUAUUUGCAUGCAGAAAUGGCUGAUCGCCGCACAGACAGUCAGAACGUAUGUACUAGAAGUCGAUCAAGAAGCGCACUGAUUGCGUCAAGAGCAGAGAAGUAGGAAUUCUAGAUUAACAGCAGACAGUGAGAGGAGAUCUCUCUAGACUACUACAUGCACAUAUCGGCUCUCCAUACAAGAGCGGUUAAAGAGCAACGCCAGGCGGCUUCGAGAUAAAUCCGUUUAGUUAGCUGCAUGGUUGAGAUUGCAAGGUGAUGGAAUCGGAGUUGAUUGUUUGGUUGUUGUUGUAUAAUCGGAUGUAUGCAAACUGUAGUUAUCAGACACUUGGCACCAAUUAUUGGCAUCUGUUCCCAGCGUGAGUUGCUGAGACGUUUAGCUCGGUCCGGUUGCAAUUUGAGUAGAGUGUCGAGUCCCACUCGGAUAACGUCACUCCUAGCUCGAGCAUCGUGCAGUGCAGUAUCCGGAUUGUGGCUAUUAGAUCCAAGUGGGAGAGAUGUGGUUUCGCUACUUGUGCUAUUGUAUGGAACCGGUGGAAGAGUAAAGGAGUUUGCUGUGUAGCCUUUGUUGUCUAGACGAUGUAUUUGUUGUAGCAGUACAAACAAUGACUUUUGUUGCUUUCUUUUGUAUUGGCACUGAACUUUGUUUUGAGAUGCGGUGACAAUGUACACACGAUGACCUGCGAUGACGCAAC